CGGCGAACGGGUGAGUAAUGCUUGGGAAUCUGCCCAUUAGUGGGGAACAACCAGCCGAAAGGUUGGCUAAUACCGCAUACGCCCUACGGGGGAAAGCGGGGGAUCGCAAGACCUCGCGCUAAUGGAUGAGCCCAAGUCGGAUUAGCUUGUUGGUAGGGUAACGGCCUACCAAGGCGACAAUCCGUAGCUGGUCUGAGAGGGCGGUCGGCCACACUGACACUGAUAUACGGGUCAG
rnacentral:rRNA from 1 species